rnacentral:rRNA from 1 species
CCUACGGGUGGCAGCAGUCGAGAAUCAUUCACAAUGGGGGAAACCCUGAUGGUGCGACGCCGCGUGGGGGAAUGAAGGUCUUCGGAUUGUAAACCCCUGUCAUGUGGGAGCAAAUUAAAAAGAUAGUACCACAAGAGGAAGAGACGGCUAACUCUGUGCCAGCAGCCGCGGUAAUACAGAGGUCUCAAGCGUUGUUCGGAGUCACUGGGCGUAAAGUGUGCGUAGGCUGUUUCGUAAGUCGUGUGUGAAAGGCGCGGGCUCAACCCGCGGACGGCACAUGAUACUGCGGGACUAGAGUAAUGGAGGGGGAACCGGAAUUCUCGGUGUAGCAGUGAAAUGCGUAGAUAUCGAGAGGAACACUCGUGGCGAAGGCGGGUUCCUGGACAUUAACUGACGCUGAGGCACGAAGGCCAGGGGAGCGAAAGGGAUUAGAUACCCGAGUAGUC